GCACAGCGGUGGAUGAUGUGGUUUAAUUCGAUGCAACGCGAAAACCUUACCCACCUUUGACAUGUACGGAAUCCUUUAGAGAUAGAGGAGUGCUCGAAAGAGAACCGUAACACAGGUGCUGCAUGGCUGUCGUCAGCUCGUGUCGUGAGAUGUUGGGUUAAGUCCCGCAACGAGCGCAACCCUUGUCAUUAGUUGCUACAUUCAGUUGGGCACUCUAAUGAGACUGCCGGUGACAAGCCGGAGGAAGGUGGGGAUGACGUCAAGUCCUCAUGGCCCUUAUAGGUGGGGCUACACACGUCAUACAAUGGCUGGUACAAAGGGUUGCCAACCCGCGAGGGGGAGCUAAUCCCAUAAAGCCAGUCGUAGUCCGGAUCGUAGUCUGCAACUCGACUACGUGAAGUCGGAAUCGCUAGUAAUCGUGGAUCAGAAUGUCACGGUGAAUACGUUCCCGGGUCUU
rnacentral:rRNA from 1 species